rfam:Corchorus olitorius cultivar O-4 contig20917, whole genome shotgun sequence.
GUUAUACUCCCUCUGUCCCUAAAUAACUGUAGGUUUUUUGGAUGAAUCUGGUCUCAUUUUAGAACCAGAUUCAUCAAAAAAAGCGACAGUUAUUUAGGGACAGAGGGAGUAUUAU